UCUUUGUGGGAGAUCAGCAGGACA
rnacentral:piRNA from 1 species